CCUAACAACACACAACAUUCCAGGAAUGUACUACCAAAGUUCUAUCAAUAUUUGAAUGUCCUGGACAUUUAGGGAACAUUCGGUGAACAUCUGUUUAAAUUAUUCCUGGAAUGUUACCAUAAGACAUUCUGUGAACAUACUACCAAUGUUCCUAUAUUUUAAGUUGCGAAAUAAUACAUACGUGUAAGAGAUACAACAUUACUUACAACAUACCAGACAAACUAAGUGACAUUUUAGGCCUACAGUGCAAUAAUAUGUCAAAUUUAAAGAGUUUCCCAAGAUUGUAAACAUACAAGUGUAAUAAAAAUUAUUGUUGGCGAAUAUUCAAUUUGGAAUGCGAUUUUGUUAAUAAAAAAAAUACUUAUAACUUAUGCAAAACCCAAGAGAGGCAUUUAUAUUUAUUUCUUUUGCGUUCAUUUUCAAAUUCGCCGUGCAUAUAUUUUUGUGCAUGGCGCUUGAGAGGGCAUCACGUGACUAAAAACGACCAACCAACGACCUCGCUUCGGCCAUCUUGGCAUCUUCAUCUUGGCGACCUUGCCUUGCCGUGGAUUGUUUUUAGUUGUUUGUAUUAUUUGUGCUUUUUAAGAAUAUUUUUUUAAUUCGGAUACUUUUAUAAUAGCUUUAAUAGUAUUAUUAACAUAGUGCAUAAAAUGGUGUCCUGUUUUUAACGCAGUUGGAGUAGCAGAAACAAAUGUAGAUAAAAAAAUCUGCAGGAAUAACGUUUCAAUUAUGACAGAAGCUCAAAACAAAUGACUGUGAAUGAAAAGCCCUAUUAAAAGCUUUCCAGAAGAUCCUGCGAAGAAGACAUGAAGUAUAGAUCAGAUUUGUUAAUAGAGGAGUAUGUUCAAAACACUUUUUAGAAAAAGAUAUUGACAGAACUUCACUUUCAUCUGUUCGUUUGAGAGACUGUGCUGUUCCAAUAGCUUAUGUCACACAGAAUCAGCUGAGAGAAGUGGUCUACAAAAAACCAGAAAGGAAACGGAAUAUGUGGCUACGAAAAGCAAAAGAAAGGUUUACAAAGCAAAUGUGACACAUUUUUUUAUAAUAUUUAGGAAUGUCAGCAAAUUACAUUAAAAAAUGUAUGUAAAGAUUUUUUGCAAUAAAAAUGUUUAUAUUUA